CAACCAUCAUCUAUUGGUAUUAUUGAUUUUUUCUCGGUUGUUUGUCGCGAUUAAAAAUAAUUUUGUUCUAGUUCGGACACUGUUUCAAUUUCCAGUAUCUUCGUUCAAUCAAAUAAGACAAGAAAACGAGAUUAUUUUCGAAUCUUUUGAUAUCUACUGCAGUUUGCAACGAAUUUUCAAAGCGGCUGCAACAGUACUCAAGAAGAGAACAGAUAAGCUGACAAAACACCAUCACUUUCAGACACACCUUUUUGCAUUUUCAACAAGGCCGUAAUGCGUUCGAUACUUAUGAUUAUCCUAUUACUCGUAUUAUCAACAUCAACACCGAUUAUUGCGCAAAGCCCACCCUCAGCACCGGUCAUCGAAGUAUUUCACCGCGAAAUAUGCCAACUUAGAAAACAGUAUCCAUUUUUCCGUCAAAUAAUAACCGAUCAGUAUAAUUUAUGUACUUCUAAGUCAUGGAAAGAACGCGUAGAAAUAUAUAAGAAAGAAAAUAACUGGGAAUCCAAAAACACUUUAAAUUGUUCUCCCACUGUCUCGCUCAUUUUGAAAAAUUCUCAAUUAGCUAUUUUCCACACUAUGUUUUGUCCAUUGUAAUGAACAGCGUUUGUUUUAGUUUACUAGAUGAAAAUUAAGCUUUUUGCAAAUAAUAAUGCACAUAUCUACCUUGUUUUACUUUCCUAUCAAAUACUCAUUCUGUAAUUCAUUCAAUAUACAUAAAUGUAAUAUACGUACUCGUAGAUACCAA